AUUGAACGCUGGCGGCAGGCUUAACACAUGCAAGUCGAACGAGCGGCGGACGGGUGAGUAAUGUCUGGGAAACUGCCUGAUGGAGGGGGAUAACUACUGGAAACGGUAGCUAAUACCGCAUACCAUCAGAUUUUCCCAGAUUGGAUUAGCUAGUAGGUGGGGUAAUGGCUCACCUAGGGGACGAUCCCUAGCUGGUCUGAGAGGAUGACCAGCCACACUGGAACUGAGACACGGUCCAGACUCCUACGGGAGGCAGCAGUGGGGAAUAUUGCACAAUGGGCGCAAGCCUGAUGUAGCCAUGCCGCGUGUGUGAAGAAGGCCUUCGGGUUGUAAAGCACUUUCAGCGAGGAGGCGUUACCCGCAGAAGAAGCACCGGCUAACUCCGUGCCAGCAGCCGCGGUAAUAC
rnacentral:rRNA from 1 species